rnacentral:rRNA from 1 species
GACGAACGCUGGCGGCGUGCUUAACACAUGCCAGUCGAACGGAAAGGCCCUGCUUUUGUGGGGUGCUCGAGUGGCGAACGGGUGAGUAACACGUGAGUAACCUGCCCUUGACUUUGGGAUAACUUCAGGAAACUGGGGCUAAUACCGGAUAGGAGCUCCUGCUGCAUGGUGGGGGUUGGAAAGUUUCGGCGGUUGGGGAUGGACUCGCGGCUUAUCAGCUUGUUGGUGGGGUAGUGGCUUACCAAGGCUUUGACGGGUAGCCGGCCUGAGAGGGUGACCGGCCACAUUGGGACUGAGAUACGGCCCAGACUCCUACGGGAGGCAGCAGUGGGGAAUAUUGCACAAUGGGCGGAAGCCUGAUGCAGCAACGCCGCGUGCGAGAUGACGGCCUUCGGGUUGUAAACCGCUUUCGCCUGUGACGAAGCGUGAGUGACGGUAAUGGGUAAAGAAGCACCGGCUAACUACGU